rnacentral:rRNA from 1 species
UUUAAGGGUUAGGAGUGGAUGCCUUUGGCACCUGAAGGCGAUGAAGGACGCGCCUAGGCUGCGAUAAGCUCGGGGAAGGUGCCUAGGAACCUGUGAUCCCGAGAUCUCCGAAUGGGGAAACCUGAUCUCGGUAAACCGAGAUCAUCCACCAAUUUUUGGUGGAGGCAUACCUGGGGAAGUGAAACAUCUCAGUACCCAGAGGAAAAGAUACCAAUUGGUAUUCCCUGAGUAGCGGCGAGCGAAAAGGGAAAAAGCCCAAACCCAGAGUUAACUCUGGGGGUUAGAGGACAAGCUCGUUUGUGGUAUAAAAUUCUGGUGCAUGGGAUUUUAUACCACAAGGCAGAGUCACAAAAGAGACUUUUAGCCGAAGGUCUCUGGAAUGAGCCGCCAUAGAGGGUGAAAGCCCCGUAGGCGAAAAAAGUCUCUCUCUGCUGAGUUUGUCCUGAGUACCCCGACGGCAGGUAGCGUUGGGGGAAGUCGGCGGAAUUACCCGCCAAGGUUAAAUACUUCAGGUGCCCGAUAGCGCACAAGUACCGUGAGGGAACGGUGAAAAGUAGGGCGGUGAGCCCGGUGAAAUAGAGCCUGAAACUCCUAACCCACAACGAGCAGAAGCUCUGGUUUUAACCAGGGUGACUGCGUGCCUAUUGAAGAAUGAGCUGGCGAGUUCAGGUUCUCUGCUUGGUUAAGGCCGGUCAAGGCCGAAGCCAAAGGGAAACCGAGUCGCAAAGAGGCGGUUUUCGGUAGAGAGCCUGAGACCCGAAACCGAGCGAUCUUACCGUGGCCAGGGUGAAUCUCGUCGAAAGACGAGAGGAGGCCCGAACCCGUCGGUCGGGCAAUACCGUGGGAUGAGCUGCGGUAAGCAGUGAAAAGCUAAUCGCGCUCGGUAAUAGCUGGUUCUCCCCGAAAUAGCUUUCAGGCUAGCGGGAGGUAAGACCUUGCAGGAGGUAGAGCACUAAUUGGUUGGUGAAGGGUUUACCCAGCCAGCCAGUUAACCUCCGAAUGCCUGCAAGGGUUUCUCCUAGUUAGCCCAUGGGGGAUAAGCUCCAUGGACAAGAGGGGAACAACCCAGAUUACCAGCUAAGGUCCCUAAGUGCGAGCUAAGUGGAGAACGAGGUCCUUCACCUAAGACACUUAGGAGGUUGGCUUAGAAGCAGCCACCCUUUAAAGAGUGCGUAACAGCUCACUAAGUGAGGUGAAGGGCGCGGAAAAUUUAAGGGGCUAAGCUCGCCGCCGAAGCUGUAAUCGUAUGCUUUUAAAAUAAAGCAUACGAAGUAGGGGAGCAUCUUUUACGCGCUGAAGGAACCCCGUGAGGAGUUCUGGAGCGUAAAGGAGAGAGAAUGCCAGCAGGAGUAACCGCAAUCCCGAUGAGAACUCGGGACGCCGUAAGCCCGAGGGUUCCUUGGCAAUGGACAUCAGCCAAGGGUUAGGCGGGACCUAAGGUCAUGCCAAUAUGGCGCAGCCGAUGGACAGCCGGUUAAUAUUCCGGCCCCACUUUUGUCUUUUGCCGAUGGGGUGACGAAGGAAAUAAGCUGCCGAGCCUUAAUGGAUUGAGGCUUUCUUUUCUCUAAGAAGUGUGACUGAGGCAAAUCCAAGUCACAGGGUUAAAAGCCCAAACUUCGUGAGAGAAGAGGAGGUAAAGCUACGGCUUUAUCAACGGCAGCGAAGAGCCUUCCAAGAAAAGCCUCUAAGGUUAAGACAAAAGUGCCCGUACCGGAAAACCGACACAGGUGGGCGAGGCGAGUAGCCUAAGGCGAACGAGUGAGGUCUCCCCAAGGAACUCGGCAAAACAGCGGGCGUACCUUCGGAAGAUGCCCUGCCUGUCUUUUGACAGGCCGCAGUGAAAGUUUCCCUGGCGACUGUUUAUCAAAAACACAGCUCCCUGCUUAACUCGAAAGAGGAUGUAUAGGGGGCGACGCCUGACCGAUGCCGGAAGGUUAAAGAAUCGGGGUACUCCUGUAUUUAAAAUACAGGGUUGCUCGCGGUUCUAAGCCCCGGUCAAUGUCGGCCCUAACCCUGAGGGUCCAAAGGUAGCGCAAUUCCUUUCCGGGUAAGUUCCGGAGCGCAUGAAAGGCGUAACGACUGGGGAACUGUCUUGGGGAGAUGCUCGGUGAAACUGCAAUCCCCGUGAAGAUGCGGGGUAGUGGCCACGGGACGGAAAGACCCCGGGAGCUUUACUGCAGUCACCUAUUGUGUAAUGUACUUGGGUGCACAGCGUAGCGGGAAGGCUAUGAAGCCCUCUCUCCGGGGAGGGUGGAGCCGCCAAUGGAACACCCGCCAUUCAAGUGCAUUACCCUAAUGAAUAGGUUAAACCUAUUCAGACAGUGGGUGAUGGGCAGUUUCUCUGGGGCAGAGCCCUCCGAAAGCGUAUUGGAGGGGCCCAAAGGUCAGCUUGUACUGGAUGGAAACCAGUAUGGACGUGCAAAGGCAUAAGCUGGCCUGACUGUAAGGCUGACAAGCCGAUCAGAGGCGAAAGCCGGGCUUAGUGACCCGACGGCUCUUUGUAAGAAGGCCGGAGACACCGGAUAAAAGUUACCCCGGGGAUAACAGGCUGGUGUGGCCCGAGAGUCCACAUCGACGGCCACGCUCGGCACCUCGAUGUCGGCUCGCCCUAGCUCGGGGCUGAAGAAGGUCCCAAGAGUGGGGCUGUUCGCCCCUUAAAAGGGUACGUGAGCUGGGUUCAGAGCGUCGUGAGACAGCUCGGACCAUAUCUGUGGCCACCGAUUGGAGGCUUGCGGGGAGCUGGUCCUAGUACGAGAGGACCGGACUGGGGCAGCCAAUGGUCUACGGGUUGUCUUACCAAAGGCAUCGCCCGAUAGCUAAGCUGCCAAGGGAUAAGCGCUGAAAGCAUCUAAGCGCGAAGCCCACCCCUAGAUAAGGCCUCUUAGCCUCCUGGAAGAUCACCAGGUUGAUAGGCCCCAGCUGGAAGCCGGGUAACCGGUUAAGGCAAGGGGUACUAAUAGGCGGUG